CUUGCUCCUUUGACGUUAGCGGCGGACGGGUGAGUAACACGUGGGUAACCUACCUAUAAGACUGGGAUAACUUCGGGAAACCGGAGCUAAUACCGGAUAAUAUUUCGAACCGCAUGGUUCGAUAGUGAAAGGUGGUUUUGCUAUCACUUAUAGAUGGACCCGCGCCGUAUUAGCUAGUUGGUAAGGUAACGGCUUACCAAGGCGACGAUACGUAGCCGACCUGAGAGGGUGAUCGGCCACACUGGAACUGAGACACGGUCCAGACUCCUACGGGAGGCAGCGGG
rnacentral:rRNA from 1 species